GUUCUGUAAGCCUGCGAAGGUGGCCUGUGAGGGUUGCUGGAGGUAUCAGAAGUGCGAAUGCUGACAUAAGUAACGAUAAAGCGGGUGAAAAGCCCGCUCGCCGGAAGACCAAGGGUUCCUGUCCAACGUUAAUCGGGGCAGGGUGAGUCGACCCCUAAGGCGAGGCCGAAAGGCGUAGUCGAUGGGAAACGGGUUAAUAUUCCCGUACUUGGUGUUACUGCGAAGGGGGGACGGAGAAGGCUAUGUUGGCCGGGCGACGGUUGUCCCGGUUUAAGCGUGUAGGUGUGUGUUCCAGGUAAAUCCGGUUCACUUUAACACUGAGGCGUGACGACGAGGCACUACGGUGCUGAAGCAACAAAUGCCCUGCUUCCAGGAAAAGCCUCUAAGCAUCAGGUAACAUCAAAUCGUACCCCAAACCGACACAGGUGGUCAGGUAGAGAAUACCAAGGCGCUUGAGAGAACUCGGGUGAAGGAACUAGGCAAAAUGGUGCCGUAACUUCGGGAGAAGGCACGCUGACACGUAGGUGAAGUGAUUUACUCAUGGAGCUGAAGUCAGUCGAAGAUACCAGCUGGCUGCAACUGUUUAUUAAAAACACAGCACUGUGCAAACACGAAAGUGGACGUAUACGGUGUGACGCCUGCCCGGUGCCGGAAGGUUAAUUGAUGGGGUCAGCGCAAGCGAAGCUCCUGAUCGAAGCCCCGGUAAACGGCGGCCGUAACUAUAACGGUCCUAAGGUAGCGAAAUUCCUUGUCGGGUAAGUUCCGACCUGCACGAAUGGCGUAAUGAUGGCCAGGCUGUCUCCACCCGAGACUCAGUGAAAUUGAACUCGCUGUGAAGAUGCAGUGUACCCGCGGCAAGACGGAAAGACCCCGUGAACCUUUACUAUAGCUUGACACUGAACAUUGAGCCUUGAUGUGUAGGAUAGGUGGGAGGCUUUGAAGUGUGGACGCCAGUCUGCAUGGAGCCGACCUUGAAAUACCACCCUUUAAUGUUUGAUGUUCUAACGUGGACCCGUUACCCGGGUUGCGGACAGUGUCUGGUGGGUAGUUUGACUGGGGCGGUCUCCUCCUAAAGAGUAACGGAGGAGCACGAAGGUUGGCUAAUCCUGGUCGGACAUCAGGAGGUUAGUGCAAUGGCAUAAGCCAGCUUGACUGCGAGCGUGACGGCGCGAGCAGGUGCGAAAGCAGGUCAUAGUGAUCCGGUGGUUCUGAAUGGAAGGGCCAUCGCUCAACGGAUAAAAGGUACUCCGGGGAUAACAGGCUGAUACCGCCCAAGAGUUCAUAUCGACGGCGGUGUUUGGCACCUCGAUGUCGGCUCAUCACAUCCUGGGGCUGAAGUAGGUCCCAAGGGUAUGGCUGUUCGCCAUUUAAAGUGGUACGCGAGCUGGGUUUAGAACGUCGUGAGACAGUUCGGUCCCUAUCUGCCGUGGGCGCUGGAGAACUGAGGGGGGCUGCUCCUAGUACGAGAGGACCGGAGUGGACGCAUCACUGGUGUUCGGGUUGUCAUGCCAAUGGCACUGCCCGGUAGCUAAAUGCGGAAGAGAUAAGUGCUGAAAGCAUCUAAGCACGAAACUUGCCCCGAGAUGAGUUCUCCCUGAGACUUAAAGUCUCCUGAAGGAACGUUGAAGACGACGACGUUGAUAGGCCGGGUGU
rnacentral:rRNA from 1 species